rnacentral:rRNA from 1 species
UGAGCAAUCUGCCCUUCUCUUUGGAAUAAGCGUUGGAAACGACGUCUAAUGCCGAAUACGACCUCCUUUCGCAUGAUCGGAGGUGGAAAGCUCCGGCGGAGAAGGAUGAGCUCGCGGCCUAUCAGCUAGUUGGUGUGGGUAAUGGCCCACCAAGGCGACGACGGGUAGCCGGCCUGAGAGGGUGACCGGCCACACUGGGACUGAGACACGGCCCAGACUCCUACGGGAGNAG